rnacentral:tRNA from 1 species
GGCCCGGUGGCGGAGUGGUUACGCGCCGGACUGCAAAUCCGUUUACCCCGGUUCGAUUCCGGGCCGGGCCU